rnacentral:rRNA from 1 species
GCCUACGGGGGGCAGCAGUGGGGAAUAUUGCACGAUGGGGGAAACCCUGAUGCAGCAACGCCGCGUGAGUGAAGAAGUAUUUCGGUAUGUAAAGCUCUAUCAGCAGGGAAGAGAAUGACGGUACCUGACUAAGAAGCCCCGGCUAACUACGUGCCAGCAGCCGCGGUAAUACGUAGGGGGCGAGCGUUAUCCGGAUUCACUGGGUGUAAAGGGAGCGUAGACGGCGACGCAAGUCUGGAGUGAAAGCCCGGGGCCCAACCCCGGGACUGCUCUGGAAACUGCGCCGCUGGAGUACGGGAGGGGCG